AGCAGCCGCGGUAAUUCCAGCUCCAAUAGCGUAUAUUAAAGUUGUUGCAGUUAAAAAGCUCGUAGUUGAAUUUCGGGAUCAGUGGGUCGGUCGUGCCACUGGUAUGCACUGGCCCUACUGGUUCCUCCUUCUUGAAGAACUGUAAUGCCAUUAAUUUGGUGUUGCAGGGAAACAGGACUGUUACUUUGAAAAAAUUAGAGUGUUUAAAGCAGGCAAUCGCUUGAAUACAUUAGCAUGGAAUAAUGAAAUAGGACGAUCGAUCCUAUUUUGUUGGUUUCUAGGAUUGACGUAAUGAUUAAUAGGGAUAGUUGGGGGCAUUAGUAUUCAAUUGUCAGAGGUGAAAUUCUUGGAUUUAUUGAAGACUAACUACUGCGAAAGCAUUUGCCAAGGAUGUUUUCAUUAAUCAAGAACGAAAGUUAGGGGAUCGAAGACGAUCAGAUACCGUCGUAG
rnacentral:rRNA from 1 species